rnacentral:lncRNA from 1 species
AUGGGUAAUUGUAUGUCGUUUCUACAUGCUUUUAAAUUAAAAAGAAACAAAUAUAUUAACUCCGCUUCACAUAUGAAUAAUAAAUACAAAAGUUCGUCUAAUUAUGAUGCAUACAAUAAAGGAUAUGUAAAACAAGAAGAGGUUCAGUCAUUUAAUACGACUAGCGAAGUAAAUACGACUAGUGAAGUAAAUACGACUAGCGAAGUAAAUACGACUAGCGAAGUAAAUAAAACUAGCGAAGUAAAUAAAACUAGCGAAGUNNNNNNNNNNACUAGCGAAGUAAAUAAAACUAGCGAAGUAAAUAAAACUAGCGAAGUUAAUACAACUAGCGAAGUUAAUACAACUAGCGAAGUUAAUACAACUAUCGAAGUUAAUACAACUAAGGAAAUGUACACAACUGACAAUAAGAGAAAAAUUACUACUUGCAAUGACAGCAUAAUGUGCAAAAAAAAAUUAAAUAAUAAAUAUAUAGCAAAUAAUAAAUCGGAUAUUGCAAAAAAAAAUGAAAGCAUUUUAAACAUCGAAUCUAAGUGUAUAAUAGGAAAUAAUAAUAAUAAAAAUAACACACUUGAAAAAACAGAUGGUUUAAUAACAAAAGAAAAAAGUAGUACAAAAAAAAAAAAAGAAAAAAAAAAUGAAAAAGAUAAAGAUAAAGAUGAAGAUAAAGAUGAAGAUAAAGAUAAAGAUGAAGAUAAAGAUAAAGAUAAAGAGAAAAUAAAAAAGAUAAACGAAAAUACAGAUGAAAAAGCACAAAAUCAUGAUCAUGAGUGGUCUAAUGAUGUUCCUAAGUGUACAAACGUUGAUAAUGUUACAAACGUUGAUAAGUGUACAAACGUUGAUAAGUGUAAUGGUACCUGUAAUGAUACAUGUAAUAGUGGCGGUGAUGGUACAUGUAAUAGUGGUGGUGAAAAUAUUUUUGAUGUAUAUGAAGAGGUAUAUAAUGAUAUAUAUGAUAAUGUAUAUGCUGAAGCAUAUAAAACUUCACAUAAUGAAGCACUUAAUGAAAUAAAUACUGGAAAACUUAAGGAGUUUCUUGGUGAAAAACAUGAUAACUUUUAUAGUAACGAACGUGUAGAUUAUUAUAGUGAAAAACGUAAUGAAUUAUAUAAUGACAAACUUAGUGACUUAUAUAAUGAGGCAUAUAAAGAAGCAUAUAAUGAUGCAUGUAAUGAGGCAUAUUUUGACGCACGUUAUGAUGCAUAUAAUAAUUUUUAUGGUGAGAGAGAUAAUGAUAAAGGUGAUGACAAAAAUAAUGACAAAAAUAAUGACAAAAAUAAUGACAAAAAUNNNNNNNNNNGACAAAAAUAA